UACAGAGGUCCCAAGCGUUGUUCGGAUUCAUUGGGCGUAAAGGGUGCGUAGGCGGCGCGGUAAGUCGGGUGUGAAAUCUCGGGGCUUAACUCCGAAACUGCAUUCGAUACUGCCGUGCUUGAGGACUGGAGAGGAGACUGGAAUUUACGGUGUAGCGGUGAAAUGCGUAGAUAUCGUAAGGAAGACCAGUGGCGAAGGCGGGUCUCUGGACAGUUCCUGACGCUGAGGCACGAAGGCCAGGGGAGCAAAACAGG
rnacentral:rRNA from 1 species